AUGCAUGUCUAAGUACAUACCUCAAAACGGUGAAACCGCGAAUGGCUCAUUAAAUCAGCUAUGGUUCCUUAGAUCGUACCUACUACAUGGAUAACUGUAGUAAUUCUAGAGCUAAUACAUGCCACUAUGCCCUGACCCGCGAGGGAACGGGUGGAUUUAUUAGAACAGAACCAACCGGUUGUGGCUCCGGCUGCAUCCGUUGUACUCUGUGAUGACUCUGGAUAACUUCAAUGAUCGCGUCGGCCUUGUGUCGGCGACGGAUCUUUCAAAUGUCUGCCCUAUCAAUUUACGAUGGUAGGUGACCUGCCUACCAUGGUGAUAACGGGUAACGGGGAAUCAGGGUUCGAUUCCGGAGAGGGAGCCUGAGAAAUGGCUACCACAUCCAAGGACA
rnacentral:rRNA from 1 species